rnacentral:piRNA from 1 species
UAAGGUAUUACUUCUACCCCUCAGUCAAA